rnacentral:rRNA from 1 species
AGCCUGAUGCAGCGACGCCGCGUGAGGGAUGGAGGCCUUCGGGUUGUAAACCUCUUCCGCCAGUGAAGCAGGCCUGCUCCUUGUGGGUGGGUUGACGGUAGCUGGAUAAGAAGCGCCGGCUAACUACGUGCCAGCAGCCGCGGUAAUACGUAGGGCGCGAGCGUUGUCCGGAAUUAUUGGGCGUAAAGAGCUCGUAGGCGGCUGGUCGCGUCUGUCGUGGAAUCCUCUGGCUUAACUGGGGGCUUGCGGUGGGUACGGGCCGGCUUGAGUGCGGUAGGGGAGACUGGAACUCCUGGUGUAGCGGUGGAAUGCGCAGAUAUCAGGAAGAACACCGGUGGCGAAGGCGGGUCUCUGGGCCGUUACUGACGCUGAGGAGCGAAAGCGUGGGGAGCGAACAGGAUUAGAUACCCUGGUAGUCCACGCCGUAAACGUUGGGCACUAGGUGUGGGGGGCCUUUUCCGGGUCUUCCGCGCCGUAGCUAACGCAUUAAGUGCCCCGCCUGGGGAGUACGGCCGCAAGGUUAAAACUCAAAGGAAUUGACGGGGGCCCGCACAAGCGGCGGAGCAUGCGGAUUAAUUCGAUGCAACGCGAAGAACCUUACCAAGGGCUUGACAUGUGCCGGUCGGCUCCGGAGACGGGGUUUCCUCCUUGUGGGGCCGGUUCACAGGUGGUGCAUGGUUGUCGUCAGCUCGUGUCGUGAGAUGUU